GCGCGUCACCGGGGGUGCCCUUUGCGGGCUGAGACAUACCCCAGGAACCUGAUCCGGGUCAUUCCGGCGGAGGGAGCGUGACCGGGCCGGCCG
rnacentral:ncRNA from 2 species